rnacentral:rRNA from 1 species
GCGGCGUGCUUAAUACAUGCAAGUCGAACGCGCAGCGAAAGGUGCUUGCACCUUUCAAGCGAGUGGCGAACGGGUGAGUAACACGUGGAUAACCUGCCUCAAGGCUGGGGAUAACAUUUGGAAACAGAUGCUAAUACCGAAUAAAACUUAGUAUCGCAUGAUACAAAGUUGAAAGGCGCUACGGCGUCACCUAGAGAUGGGUCCGCGGUGCAUUAGUUAGUUGGUGGGGUAAAGGCCUACCAAGACAAUGAUGCAUAGCCGAGUUGAGAGACUGAUCGGCCACAUUGGGACUGAGACACGGCCCAAACUCCUACGGGAGGCUGCAGUAGGGAAUCUUCCACAAUGGGCGAAAGCCUGAUGGAGCAACGCCGCGUGUGUGAUGAAGGCUUUAGGGUCGUAAAGCACUGUUGUAUGGGAAGAAAUGCUAGAAUAGGGAAUGAUUCUAGUUCGACGGUACCAUACCAGAAAGGGACGGCUAAAUACGUGCCAGCAGCCGCGGUAAUACGUAUGUCCCGAGCGUUAUCCGGAUUUAUUGGGCGUAAAGCGAGCGCAGACGGUUGAUUAAGUCUGAUGUGAAAGCCCGGAGCUCAACUCCGGAAUGGCAUUGGAAACUGGUUAACUUGAGUGUUGUAGAGGUAAGUGGAACUCCAUGUGUAGCGGUGGAAUGCGUAGAUAUAUGGAAGAACACCAGUGGCGAAGGCGGCUUACUGGACAACAACUGACGUUGAGGCU